UCAACAUCCAGUAUCUGUAUGAGAGCCACGAAACUAACCCUCAGGUCUACCCUCAUAGUACUGACUUAGGCACAGGUGUGGCCUGCUUAUGCCCAAAUUCCCCCCAGCCAAGAGAGAGACCAAAGAGCCUGUGGAAUGCCUCUGCUCCCAGCCUCUAUCUUCAGGUCAAUAAAAAGAAGAGUAGAGAGAGCCCAGAGUCCCCAGGUCUGGGAAGGGUCAGGAGGGGUCAAGAAAGGAGUUGUAAGGAGGCUGAAGGUUACAGGGCAUUUGAAUCCAAAUCACUGCUCUGGGCUAGGGAAUAGAGCCAGCAGACCAAGGUGGAAGGGAUUCUGGAAGGGGGACAUUUUAGUCCCCCAACCCCAAAGCUCAGGGUGGAAGGGGGUAGAACAAAGGAGCAGAGUGUCUAUAAUUAUUUUUAUCUUUUAUUUUUGGAAUCUAGCAGUACCUGGCAGCAGGGAGGGGACAAUACAAGUGGGGAAAAGCACCUGACAAGGCCAGUUAGGGCAGAGGUUGGGAAGGAUGGAGACUCCCUGGUUUGGAAAGCUAGGAAGCAGGCAGGGACUGGUUGCCACUCCAGGUCACUAGCUGGGCCUAUUCAUUCCUCCCACAAUCCUGACCCACCCUCCUCUGGACUCACUGUGCCUCAGUUUCUUCCCCUCGAUGGAAUGAGAAAUAGCAGCACCCGCCACAGCCAAGAGAUGAAUUCUGAGCACUUACCACGGGCACUUUAUGGACAUAAAAUACCUCUCGCUGUGGGACAGAUAACCAGGGCACCAGAGUAGUGGUGAAGAGAUGUGAGGCUUAGAGGAGUCACAGGCUUCAGAGUACACGUUCCCCUCUGCCUCCCAGCUGGACAGUGCCUGAAGACAAGGAGCUGAGAACCUCCGGAUCCACACCCUAUCCGUACCUCACCUCCAGACCUCUUGGCUCCAGGCAAGAGCCUAGAGCAUGUCAGGAGAGGAGGGAGAAAGAACCUUCAGCAAAAUAGUCACUCUAAGUAAAGCCAGCAGUUGUGGGUCUGAUGCAAACAGUACUGAACUAAAGUAAGCCCAAGCUGGAGAGCUGACCUGGAAGGCUUGUUCUUCCCAAGAGCAUGACUUUCCUGCCUGGCCCAGCUGGUGGAAGGGGCAAAGAAAAGAGGGGGCUUUUUUUUUAUUCCAUUCACAGAGGAGGUUAAAGUUAUAUUAAAAAGAAAAGCCGAGUGGGACUUCGCUGGCGGUCCAGUGGUUAAGACUCUGCGUUUCCAAUGCAGUGGGUGCGGGUUUGAUCCCUGGUCGGGGAAACUAAGAUCCCACAUGCCGCAUUGUGCACGGCCAAAAAAAAAAGAAAAGAAAAGAAAAGCUGAGUGCAUACAAGCCAAGCUCACUUCCACCUGGAUUACUGACACAAUUCUUUGGAAUCAAAUGAAAGUCAUCUGGUUCAUAUAAACUCCAUCAGCCUCAAAAGUUACUACUCCCUUACAUAUACUACAUAUACUACCUCUCCCAAUAAAAGCCACUAUUCCUUUCUA